AACGAACGCUGGCGGCAGGCCUAACACAUGCAAGUCGAGCGGACCUUUCGGGGUCAGCGGCGGACGGGUGAGUAACGCGUGGGAAUAUGCCCUUCUCUACGGAAUAGUCCUGGGAAACUGGUGGUAAUACCGUAUACGCCCUGCGGGGGAAAGAUUUAUCGGGGAAGGAUCAGCCCUCGUCGGGUUGGGUAGUUGGUGGGGUAAUGGCCUACCAAGCCGACUGUCCAUAGCGGGUUUGAGAGCAUGAUCUCCCACACUUGGACUGAGACACGGCCCACACUCCUCCGGGACGCUGCAGUGGGGAAUCUUAGACUAUGGGGGCAACCCUGCUCUAGCCAUGCCGCGUGAGUGAUGAAGGCCUUAGGGUUGUACCGCUCUUUCAGCUGGGAAGAUAAUGACGGUACCGGCAGAAGAAGCCCCGGCUAACUCCGUG
rnacentral:rRNA from 1 species